rnacentral:rRNA from 1 species
ACGAACGCUGGCGGCGUGCUUAACACAUGCAAGUCGAACGGAAAGGCCCUGCUUUUGUGGGGUGCUCGAGUGGCGAACGGGUGAGUAACACGUGAGUAACCUGCCCUUGACUUUGGGAUAACUUCAGGAAACUGGGGCUAAUACCGGAUAGGAGCUCCUGCUGCAUGGUGGGGGUUGGAAAGUUUCGGCGGUUGGGGAUGGACUCGCGGCUUAUCAGCUUGUUGGUGGGGUAGUGGCUUACCAAGGCUUUGACGGGUAGCCGGCCUGAGAGGGUGACCGGCCACAUUGGGACUGAGAUACCGCCCAGACUCCUACGGGAGGCAGGAGUGGGGAAUAUUGCACAAUGGGCGGAAGCCUGAUGCAGCAACGCCGCGUGCGGGAUGACGGCCUUCGGGUUGUAAACCGCUUUCGCCUGUGACGAAGCGUGAGUGACGGUAAUGGGUAAAGAAGCACCGGCUAACUACGUG